GAUCAUGGCUCAGGACGAACGCUGGCGGCGUGCUUAACACAUGCAAGUCGAACGGAGCACCCUUGAUUGAGGUUUCGGCCAAAUGAUAGGAAUGCUUAGUGGCGGACUGGUGAGUAACGCGUGAGGAACCUGCCUUUCAGAGGGGGACAACAGUUGUAAACGACUGCUAAUACCGCAUGACGCAUUUUGAUCGCAUGGUCGAAAUGCCAAAGAUUUAUCGCUGAAAGAUGGCCCCG
rnacentral:rRNA from 1 species